GUUUCUCUGCAAGGUUUGUCUACGGAGAGUGAGUCAAGGCCUAAGAUCAGGCCAAAAGGCGUAGUUGACGGACAACAGGUGAAUAUUCAUGUACUACUCUUUGUUGGUAUUGAGGUAUAGAGGAGGCUAGGUUAACCGAAAGAUGGUUAUCGGUUUAAAGAUGCAUGAUGCCCCUACUUUUUCAGGAUAAUAAGGAGUAGAGAAAAUGUCUCAUUUUUAAAUUCGUUAUUAUAUCUUUUUAAAAGUAUAAUUAAUAUUAAAAAUAAAUUGUA
rfam:Vigna angularis cultivar Jingnong 6 chromosome 5, whole genome shotgun sequence.